rnacentral:rRNA from 1 species
AGAAUCAACGCUGGCGGCGUGCCUAACACAUGCAAGUCGCACGAGAAAGGGACUUCGGUCCUGAGUACAGUGGCGCACGGGUGAGUAACACGUGAAUAAUCUACCUCCGAGUGGGGAAUAACUGAGAGAAAUCUUAGCUAAUACCGCAUAACACUUACGAGUCAAAGCAGCAAUGCGCUUGGAGAGGAGUUCGCGGCAGAUUAGUUAGUUGGCGGGGUAAUGGCCCACCAAGACGAUGAUCUGUAUCCGGCCUGAGAGGGCGCACGGACACACUGGAACUGAAACACGGUCCAGACUCCUACGGGAGGCAGCAGUGGGGAAUUUUGCGCAAUGGGGGAAACCCUGACGCAGCAACGCCGCGUGGAGGAUGAAAUCCCUUGGGAUGUAAACUCCUUUCGAUAGGGAAGAUAAUGACGGUACCUAUAGAAGAAGCCCCGGCUAACUUCGCGCCAGCAGUCGC